CCUACGGGGGGCAGCAGUGGGGAAUAUUGCACAAUGGGGGCAACCCUGAUGCAGCGACGCCGCGUGAGUGAAGAAGGAUCUCGGUAUGUAAAGCUCUUUUAGUAGGGAAGAAAAGGACGGUACGUGACUAAGAUGCCCCGGCUAACUACGUGCCAGCAGCGGCGGUAAUACGGAGGGGGCAAGCGUUAUCCGGAUUUACUGGGUGUAAAGGGAGCGUAGACGGGAGGACAAGUCAGGAGUGAAAUCCCGGGGCUUAACCCCGGAACUGCAUUUGAAACUGUGCGGCUGGAGUGCAGGAGGGGUAAGCGGAAUUCCUAGUGUAGCGGUGAAAUGCGUAGAUAUUAGGAAGAACACCGGUGGCGAAGGCGGCUUACUGGACUGUAACUGACGUUGAGGCUCGAAAGCGUGGGGAGCAAACAGGAUUAGAUACCCCUGUAGUC
rnacentral:rRNA from 1 species